rnacentral:misc_RNA from 1 species
AUCUCUCAACACAAGAAAACUUGUUUCUUGUGCUUGGAUAUUGAAGGUUUUGCUGGCGCAAAUAACUGUCAGCUCCUUUUAAAUGCAUUAGCAGAGCAGUGUAGGACUGGCCUCAGUUUGAUAAGAAAUAUUUAUCUAUGCUGUCGCUAGAUUUCCUCUUUGUGUUCAGCUUCAAACUGUCUUCGGACUGUCUCUCUUGAGGCAAAACAAUUCAUU